ACUACAUCUAGUUCAUCAAUCAACUAGAAAAAUAAAAGCAGCUGCAACAUCUCUAAUUAGCUAAAAGAAAGGCUCCUAGUUCGCCAUCAAUCAAUUGGAAAAUAAAAAAAGCAUCACCAUAGACUUUCAUAGAUAGACAUCAGCAUCAUCAUAGAAGGUUGGGACAAACUUGCAUAAGUAGACAGUAGCAAUAACCUAAAACUUGCACAUAGUCUUUGAACAGAAGAAGCACGCGGCAAUAUAAAGCCUGAAAAUAUGCAUAUAGAAGAAAAGAACAAGCCCAAGCCAUGUUGCCGCCUCC
rnacentral:lncRNA from 1 species